AUUGAACGCUGGCGGCAGGCCUAACACAUGCAAGUCGAGCGGAUGAAGGGAGCUUGCUCCUGGAUUCAGCGGCGGACGGGUGAGUAAUGCCUAGGAAUCUGCCUGGUAGUGGGGGAUAACGUCCGGAAACGGGCGCUAAUACCGCAUACGUCCUGAGGGAGAAAGUGGGGGAUCUUCGGACCUCACGCUAUCAGAUGAGCCUAGGUCGGAUUAGCUAGUUGGUGGGGUAAAGGCCUACCAAGGCGACGAUCCGUAACUGGUCUGAGAGGAUGAUCAGUCACACUGGAACUGAGACACGGCCCAGACUCCUACGGGAGGCAGCAGUGGGGAAUAUUGGACAAUGGGCGAAAGCCUGAUCCAGCCAUGCUGCGUGUGUGAAGAAGGUCUUCGGAUUGUAAAGCACUUUAAGUUGGGAGGAAGGGCAGUAAGUUAAUACCUUGCUGUUUUGACGUUACCAACAGAAUAAGCACCGGCUAACUUCGUG
rnacentral:rRNA from 1 species